AUGUAACCCAACGCAGCAUGA
rnacentral:miRNA from 2 species